CUGAGUUUACAACUCCCAAACCCCUGUGAACAUACCUAUACGUUGCCUCGGCGGAUCAGCCCGCGCCCCGUAAAAAGGGACGGCCCGCCCGAGGACCCCUAAACUCUGUUUUUAGUGGAACUUCUGAGUAAAACAAACAAAUAAAUCA
rnacentral:misc_RNA from 1 species